rnacentral:tRNA from 1 species
CAGGGAGACAACAAAAUGUUUAAUAUUAUUAUUUUGUCACCUUAGGUCGAUCGGUAUCUCACGUUCUUAAUUUGUUAAGAAUUUCAUUUCCUAAGUUUUUCUAGGUCACACCCAUUAUUUUUCCUGGGCCAUUAGCUCAGGUGGUUAGAGCGCACCCCUGAUAAGGGUGAGGUCCCUGGUUCAAGUCCAGGAUGGCCCAUAUCUCUAUGUUGGGGGUAUAGCUCAGUUGGUAGAGCGCCUGCUUUGCAAGCAGGAUGUCAGCGGUUCGAGUCCGCUUACCUCCACUGAUUACCACCUCUUCCAUAAUCCGUAGAAAGGAAAUUUUUUGAGUUGUGAUCAAAUUCUGAACGAAUCUAGCUUCCUAAUUAAAUUAUUAAGAUGCUGGACUCAUUGAAUUAAUUUCAUUGUUUUCAGAGAACCUUGACAACUGCAUAGAUUAUUUUUAAAGACAAUAAGCAUCUUUAAUGAUGCAGAUUUAUUAUUUGUGCGAAUGCAUUAAUAACAAUUCUAUUAAGCUGAUGCUUCAAUUUUGAAGUUAUU